rnacentral:lncRNA from 1 species
AAAUACAUGGAAAGUAAAGAUCAUGUUUAUAAACAAUCAAUGGACCAAAGAACAUCAAAAAGAAAGUUAAAAAUAUCCUGAGGCAAAUAAAAAUAGAAACAUAACACAAUAAAACAUAUGGGAUACAGCAAAAAUGGUUCUAAGAAAUUAUUGUAUGCAAUUUGAGAAAGAUAAUUAAAAAAUAAGUUUGCUAGUUUUUAUAAUUUACUCUCAAUAUAAACUUUUACUCAGAUAUAGCUAGCCUCCUUUUAGCAAAUUUUAAUGUUUACAAGUAUCAAAGCAAAUGAAAUUUCUUCUGUGAAGACAUAUCCACUUGACCAUUGUAUUGUGUCUUUGUUUCAGGAGCACUUUGGCUUCUCAGUGAUGUUGAUCAUAUUUUCAGAUACCUGUUGGUUGUUUGUAUGUCUUAUUUUAAUAAAAAAUAAGAUUUACAGAUAUUUUACCCAUUUUUAAUUAGAUCAUUUGCUUUCUUGUCUUUUUUGUUGUUGUUACUGACUUCUGAAUAUUGGCUCCUUUUCAGAUGCAUAGUUUUUGAAUAUUUUCUCCUGUUCUGCCGAUUAUCUCUUUACUCUGUUGAUUGUUUCCUUUGCUGUGUAGAAGGUUUUUUGGUUUGACAUAGUCCCAUGUGUCUAUUUUUGCUUCUGUUACCUGUGUAUUUGAAGUCUUAUCCAAAGAAGCCCUUGCCCAGACCAAUGCCAUAAAGUUCUUUUCCUAUAUUUUCAAAAUUUUAAAAACGAGUAUUAGAUUUUUGGCAAAAACAUUUGCUUACAUAGUUCAGGAAUUGUCUCUUUGCCCACAAAUCCUAAAAUGUUUACUCUCUCACUCUUCACAUAAAAGAUUGCUGAUCUGUUUUAUAAUGUUCUGAGAUUACAAAUGCCCCUAGCUUAGAUACAUACCAGCAACAAACAUUAAUUUUGUAUGCAUUGGACUGGCUAUCAUUGGACAAAUUUUGGCACAGAUGGCAAUUUCAAACCUGUUUUUGACGACAUUUACCGUAAGCCAUGCCUUUGUGUCCAAUCAAAUGCUUAGUUCAGUUUCAUCUCAGAAUUAAGGGAAUGUAUCCAACCCUUGAUUAAUGACAAUUGACCAUUGAUCAAAAUCCAGAAACGUCAACUUGGAAAAGCACUAUCUCUGCGAAACUUUAGUCUUCAUGGGGUUUUAAUAUUGUGCUUCUUUGAGGCCAGUCACUUGCUCCCUUCAUGUUUUCUCACUAAAAUGCUAAAUUGUAUGCUUAUUUAUCUAAAUGAUAUAAUUUCAAUAAGAAUGAUAUUUAGUCAUCAACAGGGGGUUAGUUUUGAAGUAUGUUUGAGAAAUAACUUGGGGAAAAAUGAAGAAAUUCUCUUGAAAAGAUCAUUUAUGUUUAUAUCUAAAAAAUCAUUUGUAGGAAAUGUUCCCUCCUUUGUUUCCAAACAUCAGAACUUAAUAAAUUAUGACCUUUAAAUCAUACAGCUUGAUAAAAUUUUCAAGGACCCAGGUUAUUUUCUAAAUAGCUACCUUGUAUAUAUGUCAACAUCUGUUUAUUUCACAUCUAAGUUUUUUUCUCUUUCCUUGCAGAGGGAAUGUAACUAACCUUUUAUAAUGAAAAUUUUAUAUUUGGCUGCAUACAGCUGGUUCUCUCUUUUUGAAAUGAUCCUCGACCUCUCUCUUUCCAUCUGUUAAAAAAUGUCAAAGAUUUAAUGAUCAAAAAACAAUUUAGUCAUAGCAUUGGGAGAUAUACCUAAUGCUAAAUGACAAGUUAAUGGGUGCAGCACACCAGCAUGGCACAUGUAUACAUAUGUAACUAACCUGCACAUUAUGCACAUGUACCCUAAAACUUAAAGUAUAAUAAUAAUAAAAUAAAAUAAAAAAAAUUUUGCGUGCAGAAAAUGGAAUGAUGAAAAAAUAUUAACGACUGUUGCCAUUGCUUCCUACAUGUUAAUCAACAAAGUCAAAUCACGAGACACAAUGUCUAAAUGCUUUGUAUUUUUAUAGCUUCUUUUUAUAAUUCUGGAUUUUGUUCAAUAUUUAAGUUAUUCACUAGCAUUCUCUGCUUGGGUUUUAAAUUGCCCUUUAAUUGUAAACUGAUUAUUGAUGUUCACUGUGGCAGAUAUAUUUUUAGCCUGUUCAUAGACUCCCAAUUAAUAAUUCUUUUUCCACUCCAUGUAACAACAAUGCGAUUGUUUUAAAAAUCAACUAAUUCUGGUUUCUGGUCUAAGUUGGAGGAACUUAACAACUC